rnacentral:lncRNA from 1 species
UGCUUCGGGACACCUCAUCUAGAGCACGUUGUAUCUCGGUACAUUGUAAGAGCUGAUUCACCAAGGUUGUCUGCUAUGCGAGGGCGCUUGUCAACUCUAUAACUUGCCGUGACAAGUGUGGUUCGUCAUUUGGGUUGGAAUACCUUGGACGGUAUGCAUCUCCUUGAGUGGCGGAAGUGUAAUGGACUCCAGGCGCAAGAUUUAAGUUAGGAAAUGUCAAAUCUACGGAGCAAUGGGGUGAAAAUGUCCCCGGUUCAAUCAUCAGUCCAAAAAUCUGAAUCCGUGAUUGUUGAACCGGUCUUGGACCGGUCGGGAUUGCCAAGUGAGCCACGGGAGCGGGUUGGACCGCGGAAGUGAGCAAUGCCAUAUGCAGAGCACGUGGGCGGGGUGCGAUGCUGGGAACGCAUUGGAUUUGGGCCGAGGGAAUGGUCAGCCCAACUCGGGCCUGCAAUGCGUCUUGGGCAUGCGCUGUUUGGGUAGUGGUUUGGGCCUACUCGUGCUGGGUUGGCUUGGCUGCCCUGCAGCGUGGGCUGUAGAUUGGGACGCCUAUUAGGCUUCUUGCACAGCUGCUGCCAGCGUCUAAGCUUGGGCUUGGUCUUGGGUUUGGGCUGCUGUAGUGGCAGCGCAUAAGACCAUGGUUUGCUGCCAUGAAGCUGGCCCACUCCCCACUGCCACGGUGGUCCCCGUGGCUACCAUGGUGGUGGUGCUCCAUGGUGGCAAAAUUGCUCCUCUUGCCACCGCGUUGAGCUUUGUGGAUCGUCGUGGUGGGGCUACAUCGCAAUCUCCAUCACUUGAUCCGGAUCUUUGAACGUAGGAAGUUUCCUUCGUUGUGGUUUCCAAAUUUCUUGUCAUUGUACUUUUCUUUUAAGUUUAUUCAACAAAAAAUUUACAUGAAAAAAUUCUAGGAAUAAGAACGUACGAAAAAUCUACGAAUGAACAAAAAAUGAGAAACCUUGAAUGCGAGAGUCUUCUUCACGCGUGUGAAUCAAACUAUCAAUGAAAGCACCAAUUUAUGGUUGCAAAUUUCCGUCUUCUUCUUCUUGGACGAAAAUGCACAUGCAAAACAAUUAACACCUUAGGUCAAGGCCAACAGCCUCAUGUGGCCACGAUGAAUGGAAGGCCUUUGGCAGAAGAACCCUCGAUGCCAACAUUAGAAUUUGAGAAAGAAAGUGUUUAAAUAAUUUUUGGAGAUGAAUGAACUUAGGUUUUUGGGAG